rnacentral:rRNA from 1 species
CCUACGGGUGGCUGCAGUGGGGAAUAUUGGACAAUGGGGGCAACCCUGAUCCAGCCAUGCCGCGUGUGUGAAGAAGGCCCUCGGGUUGUAAAGCACUUUCAGUGAGGAAGAACGCCUGGUGGUUAAUACCCAUCAGGAAAGACAUCACUCACAGAAGAAGCACCGGCUAACUCCGUGCCAGCAGCCGCGGUAAUACGGAGGGUGCGAGCGUUAAUCGGAAUUACUGGGCGUAAAGCGCGCGUAGGUGGCUUGAUAAGCCGGUUGUGAAAGCCCCGGGCUCAACCUGGGAACGGCAUCCGGAACUGUCAAGCUAGAGUGCAGGAGAGGACGGUAGAAUUCCCGGUGUAGCGGUGAAAUGCGUAGAGAUCGGGAGGAAUACCAGUGGCGAAGGCGGCCUUCUGGACUGACACUGACACUGAGGUGCGAAAGCGUGGGUAGCAAACAGGAUUAGAUACCCCUGUAGUC